rnacentral:misc_RNA from 1 species
GGCAUAAGGAAUGGGUGACGGAAGUGAACGUCCUAGGUGUGGUGGAGCAUCAAAAUCUUGUCAAAUUAAUAGGCUAUUGUGCAGAGGAUGAUGAAAGAGGAAUACAACGUUUACUUGUAUAUGAGUUUUUGCCCAACAGAAGUGUACAAGAUCAUCUAAUAAGUCGUUUUAUGUCACCUUUGCCAUGGGAAACAAGGCUAAAUAUCGCUCGUGAUGCUGCUCGAGGAUUGGCUUACCU